rnacentral:tRNA from 1 species
UGGGGUGUGGCCAAGUGGUAAGGCAACGGGUUUUGGUCCCACUAUUCGGAGGUUUGAAUCCUUCUGUCUCAG